GUGCCAGCAGCCGCGGUAAUACGUAGGGUGCGAGCGUUGUCCGGAAUUAUUGGGCGUAAAGAGCUCGUAGGCGGUGUGUCGCGUCGGCCGUGAAAACCUGGGGCUUAACUCUGGGCGUGCGGUCGAUACGGGCAUCACUAGAGUUCGGCAGGGGAGACUGGAAUUCCUGGUGUAGCGGUGAAAUGCGCAGAUAUCAGGAGGAACACCGGUGGCGAAGGCGGGUCUCUGGGCCGAUACUGACGCUGAGGAGCGAAAGCAUGGGUAGCGAACAGGAUUAGAAACCCCCGUAGUCC
rnacentral:rRNA from 1 species